UUGGACUGAAGGGAGCUCCCUA
rnacentral:siRNA from 1 species